CCGCGCCCGGCCGAUAACACAGUUUCAUUGUGAAGACAGGCGGCUUGUAGUAGCAAAAAUUGAAACCGAAAAUGGCGACGUUACACAUUCUCCAAAUCCCUACUAAUUUACAUACCUAUCAAUUUCAGAGGCAAUCUCGUGUAACCCUAAAGGAGGUUAUCUCUGGAGAGCUUGGAGCAGCUCCAAUUCAAGUUCAGAGAUCCAGGGAGCCCAGAAUGCAC
rnacentral:lncRNA from 1 species